rnacentral:misc_RNA from 1 species
GUGAAUCAUCAAAUUUUUGAACGCAUAUUGCACUCUCUGGUAUUCCGGAGCGUAUGUCUAUUUGAGGGUCAUUUGAAAUAAUAUAAAUUUCGAGUUUUUCUUGAAAUCAAAAAUGGGUCGGUCAAGCUUUAGUGUGGUGGUCGCCUAAACUGCAAGACAAGCUCAUUUCUUGGGUUGCGUGAUACUUUCUGUUACCUCGUGCCUUCGCAAGAAAUAUUCGUGCGAGUUAAGAACUGUGCAAGA